GUGGGGAAUCUUGCGCAAUGGGCGAAAGCCUGACGCAGCCAUGCCGCGUGUGUGAAGAAGGUCUUCGGAUUGUAAAGCACUUUAAGUUGGGAGGAAGGGCAUUAACCUAAUACGUUAGUGUUUUGACGUUACCGACAGAAUAAGCACCGGCUAACUUCGUGCCAGCAGCCGCGGUAAUACGAAGGGUGCAAGCGUUAAUCGGAAUUACUGGGCGUAAAGCGCGCGUAGGUGGUUCGUUAAGUUGGAUGUGAAAGCCCCGGGCUCAACCUGGGAACUGCAUCCAAAACUGGCGAGCUAGAGUACGGUAGAGGGUGGUGGAAUUUCCUGUGUAGCGGUGAAAUGCGUAGAUAUAGGAAGGAACACCAGUGGCGAAGGCGACCACCUGGACUGAUACUGACACUGAGGUGCGAAAGCGUGGGGAGCAAACAGGAUUAGAAACCCUGGUAGUCC
rnacentral:rRNA from 1 species